UACGUAGGGUGCAAGCGUUAAUCGGAAUUACUGGGCGUAAAGCGUGCGCAGGCGGUUUUGUAAGUCUGGUGUGAAAUCCCCGAGCUCAACUUGGGAAUUGCAAUGGAUACUGGCAGGCUGGAGUAUGGUAGAGGAAGGUGGAAUUCCCGGUGUAGCAGUGAAAUGCGUAGAGAUCGGGAGGAACACCAGUGGCGAAGGCGGCCUUCUGGACCAAUACUGACGCUCAUGCACGAAAGCGUGGGGAGCAAACAGG
rnacentral:rRNA from 1 species